rnacentral:rRNA from 1 species
GAUGAACGCUGGCGGCGUGCCUAAUACAUGCAAGUCGAGCGAACGGACGAGAGGCUUGCUUCUCUGAUGUUAGCGGCGGACGGGUGAGUAACACGUGGAUAACCUACCUAUAAGACUGGGAUAACUUCGGGAAACCGGAGCUAAUACCGGAUAAUAUUUUGAACCGCAUGGUUCAAAAGUGAAAGACGGUCUUGCUGUCACUUAUAGAUGGAUCCGCGCUGCAUUAGCUAGUUGGUAAGGUAACGGCUUACCAAGGCAACGAUGCAUAGCCGACCUGAGAGGGUGAUCGGCCACACUGGAACUGAGACACGGUCCAGACUCCUACGGGAGGCAGCAGUAGGGAAUCUUCCGCAAUGGGCGAAAGCCUGACGGAGCAACGCCGCGUGAGUGAUGAAGGUCUUCGGAUCGUAAAACUCUGUUAUUAGGGAAGAACAUAUGUGUAAGUAACUGUGCACAUCUUGACGGUACCUAAUCAGAAAGCCACGGCUAACUACGUGCCAGCAGCCGCGGUAAUACGUAGGUGGCAAGCGUUAUCCGGAAUUAUUGGGCGUAAAGCGCGCGUAGGCGGUUUUUUAAGUCUGAUGUGAAAGCCCACGGCUCAACCGUGGAGGGUCAUUGGAAACUGGAAAACUUGAGUGCAGAAGAGGAAAGUGGAAUUCCAUGUGUAGCGGUGAAAUGCGCAGAGAUAUGGAGGAACACCAGUGGCGAAGGCGACUUUCUGGUCUGUAACUGACGCUGAUGUGCGAAAGCGUGGGGAUCAAACAGGAUUAGAUACCCUGGUAGUCCACGCCGUAAACGAUGAGUGCUAAGUGUUAGGGGGUUUCCGCCCCUUAGUGCUGCAGCUAACGCAUUAAGCACUCCGCCUGGGGAGUACGACCGCAAGGUUGAAACUCAAAGGAAUUGACGGGGACCCGCACAAGCGGUGGAGCAUGUGGUUUAAUUCGAAGCAACGCGAAGAACCUUACCAAAUCUUGACAUCCUUUGACAACUCUAGAGAUAGAGCCUUCCCCUUCGGGGGACAAAGUGACAGGUGGUGCAUGGUUGUCGUCAGCUCGUGUCGUGAGAUGUUGGGUUAAGUCCCGCAACGAGCGCAACCCUUAAGCUUAGUUGCCAUCAUUAAGUUGGGCACUCUAAGUUGACUGCCGGUGACAAACCGGAGGAAGGUGGGGAUGACGUCAAAUCAUCAUGCCCCUUAUGAUUUGGGCUACACACGUGCUACAAUGGACAAUACAAAGGGCAGCGAAACCGCGAGGUCAAGCAAAUCCCAUAAAGUUGUUCUCAGUUCGGAUUGUAGUCUGCAACUCGACUACAUGAAGCUGGAAUCGCUAGUAAUCGUAGAUCAGCAUGCUACGGUGAAUACGUUCCCGGGUCU